GAUGAACGCUGGCGGCGUGCCUAAUACAUGCAAGUCGAGCGAAUGGAUUAAGAGCUUGCUCUUAUGAAGUUAGCGGCGGACGGGUGAGUAACACGUGGGUAACCUGCCCAUAAGACUGGGAUAACUCCGGGAAACCGGGGCUAAUACCGGAUAACAUUUUGAACCGCAUGGUUCGAAAUUGAAAGGCGGCUUCGGCUGUCAGUUAUGGAUGGACCCGCGUCGCAUUAGCUAGUUGGGGAGGUCACGGCUCACCAAGGCAAAGAUGCGUAGCCGACCUGAGAGGGUGAUCGGCCACACUGGGACUGAGACACGGCCCAGACUCCUACGGGAGGCAGCAGUAGGGAAUCUUCCGCAAUGGACGAAAGUCUGACGGAGCAACGCCGCGUGAGUGAUGAAGGCUUUCGGGUCGUAAAACUCUGUUGUUAGGGAAGAACAAGUGCUAGUUGAAUAAGCUGGCACCUUGACGGUACCUAACCAGAAAGCCACGGCUAACUACGUGCCAGCCGCCGCAGUAA
rnacentral:rRNA from 1 species